rnacentral:rRNA from 1 species
GGUUAAGCGACUAAGCGUACACGGUGGAUGCCCUGGCAGUCAGAGGCGAUGAAGGACGUGCUAAUCUGCGAUAAGCGUCGGUAAGGUGAUAUGAACCGUUAUAACCGGCGAUUUCCGAAUGGGGAAACCCAGUGUGUUUCGACACACUAUCAUUAACUGAAUCCAUAGGUUAAUGAGGCGAACCGGGGGAACUGAAACAUCUAAGUACCCCGAGGAAAAGAAAUCAACCGAGAUUCCCCCAGUAGCGGCGAGCGAACGGGGAGCAGCCCAGAGCCUGAAUCAGUGUGUGUGUUAGUGGAAGCGUCUGGAAAGGCGCGCGAUACAGGGUGACAGCCCCGUACACAAAAAUGCACAUGCUGUGAGCUCGAUGAGUAGGGCGGGACACGUGGUAUCCUGUCUGAAUAUGGGGGGACCAUCCUCCAAGGCUAAAUACUCCUGACUGACCGAUAGUGAACCAGUACCGUGAGGGAAAGGCGAAAAGAACCCCGGCGAGGGGAGUGAAAAAGAACCUGAAACCGUGUACGUACAAGCAGUGGGAGCACGCUUAGGCGUGUGACUGCGUACCUUUUGUAUAAUGGGUCAGCGACUUAUAUUCUGUAGCAAGGUUAACCGAAUAGGGGAGCCGAAGGGAAACCGAGUCUUAACUGGGCGUUAAGUUGCAGGGUAUAGACCCGAAACCCGGUGAUCUAGCCAUGGGCAGGUUGAAGGUUGGGUAACACUAACUGGAGGACCGAACCGACUAAUGUUGAAAAAUUAGCGGAUGACUUGUGGCUGGGGGUGAAAGGCCAAUCAAACCGGGAGAUAGCUGGUUCUCCCCGAAAGCUAUUUAGGUAGCGCCUCGUGAAUUCAUCUCCGGGGGUAGAGCACUGUUUCGGCAAGGGGGUCAUCCCGACUUACCAACCCGAUGCAAACUGCGAAUACCGGAGAAUGUUAUCACGGGAGACACACGGCGGGUGCUAACGUCCGUCGUGAAGAGGGAAACAACCCAGACCGCCAGCUAAGGUCCCAAAGUCAUGGUUAAGUGGGAAACGAUGUGGGAAGGCCCAGACAGCCAGGAUGUUGGCUUAGAAGCAGCCAUCAUUUAAAGAAAGCGUAAUAGCUCACUGGUCGAGUCGGCCUGCGCGGAAGAUGUAACGGGGCUAAACCAUGCACCGAAGCUGCGGCAGCGACGCUGAUGCGUUGUUGGGUAGGGGAGCGUUCUGUAAGCCUGCGAAGGUGUGCUGUGAGGCAUGCUGGAGGUAUCAGAAGUGCGAAUGCUGACAUAAGUAACGAUAAAGCGGGUGAAAAGCCCGCUCGCCGGAAGACCAAGGGUUCCUGUCCAACGUUAAUCGGGGCAGGGUGAGUCGACCCCUAAGGCGAGGCCGAAAGGCGUAGUCGAUGGGAAACAGGUUAAUAUUCCUGUACUUGGUGUUACUGCGAAGGGGGGACGGAGAAGGCUAUGUUGGCCGGGCGACGGUUGUCCCGGUUUAAGCGUGUAGGCUGGUUUUCCAGGCAAAUCCGGAAAAUCAAGGCUGAGGCGUGAUGACGAGGCACUACGGUGCUGAAGCAACAAAUGCCCUGCUUCCAGGAAAAGCCUCUAAGCAUCAGGUAACAUCAAAUCGUACCCCAAACCGACACAGGUGGUCAGGUAGAGAAUACCAAGGCGCUUGAGAGAACUCGGGUGAAGGAACUAGGCAAAAUGGUGCCGUAACUUCGGGAGAAGGCACGCUGAUAUGUAGGUGAAGUCCCUUGCGGAUGGAGCUGAAAUCAGUCGAAGAUACCAGCUGGCUGCAACUGUUUAUUAAAAACACAGCACUGUGCAAACACGAAAGUGGACGUAUACGGUGUGACGCCUGCCCGGUGCCGGAAGGUUAAUUGAUGGGGUCAGCGCAAGCGAAGCUCUUGAUCGAAGCCCCGGUAAACGGCGGCCGUAACUAUAACGGUCCUAAGGUAGCGAAAUUCCUUGUCGGGUAAGUUCCGACCUGCACGAAUGGCGUAAUGAUGGCCAGGCUGUCUCCACCCGAGACUCAGUGAAAUUGAACUCGCUGUGAAGAUGCAGUGUACCCGCGGCAAGACGGAAAGACCCCGUGAACCUUUACUAUAGCUUGACACUGAACAUUGAGCCUUGAUGUGUAGGAUAGGUGGGAGGCUUUGAAGUGUGGACGCCAGUCUGCAUGGAGCCGACCUUGAAAUACCACCCUUUAAUGUUUGAUGUUCUAACGUGGACCCGUGAUCCGGGUUGCGGACAGUGUCUGGUGGGUAGUUUGACUGGGGCGGUCUCCUCCUAAAGAGUAACGGAGGAGCACGAAGGUUGGCUAAUCCUGGUCGGACAUCAGGAGGUUAGUGCAAUGGCAUAAGCCAGCUUGACUGCGAGCGUGACGGCGCGAGCAGGUGCGAAAGCAGGUCAUAGUGAUCCGGUGGUUCUGAAUGGAAGGGCCAUCGCUCAACGGAUAAAAGGUACUCCGGGGAUAACAGGCUGAUACCGCCCAAGAGUUCAUAUCGACGGCGGUGUUUGGCACCUCGAUGUCGGCUCAUCACAUCCUGGGGCUGAAGUAGGUCCCAAGGGUAUGGCUGUUCGCCAUUUAAAGUGGUACGCGAGCUGGGUUUAGAACGUCGUGAGACAGUUCGGUCCCUAUCUGCCGUGGGCGCUGGAGAACUGAGGGGGGCUGCUCCUAGUACGAGAGGACCGGAGUGGACGCAUCACUGGUGUUCGGGUUGUCAUGCCAAUGGCACUGCCCGGUAGCUAAAUGCGGAAGAGAUAAGUGCUGAAAGCAUCUAAGCACGAAACUUGCCCCGAGAUGAGUUCUCCCUGACCCUUUAAGGGUCCUGAAGGAACGUUGAAGACGACGACGUUGAUAGGCCGGGUGUGUAAGCGCAGCGAUGCGUUGAGCUAACCGGUACUAAUGAACCGUGAGGCUUAACCUU